rnacentral:rRNA from 1 species
GAUCCUGGCUCAGGAUGAACGCUGGCGGCGUGCCUAACACAUGCAAGUCGAGCGAAGCACUUUGCUUAGAUUCUUCGGAUGAAGAGGAUUGUGACUGAGCGGCGGACGGGUGAGUAACGCGUGGGUAACCUGCCUCAUACAGGGGGAUAACAGUUAGAAAUGACUGCUAAUACCGCAUAAGACCACAGCAACCGCAUGGUGCGGGGGUUAAAAACUCCGGUGGUAUGAGAUGGACCCG